rnacentral:misc_RNA from 1 species
AAGUCGUAACAAGGUUUCCGUAGGUGAACCUGCGGAAGGAUCAUUAACGAGUUAGGGUCUCCCAGGCCCGACCUCCCAACCCUUUGCUUAUUGAACCUAUCGUUGCUUCGGCGGGCCCGUCCCUGUGACCGCCGGAGGACCGCCGAAAGGCGUCCUCUGGCCCGCGUCCGCCGGUGGCCAACCUUUAUAACUCUUUGAAUGAAUCGUGUCUUCUAAGUAUUCAAAAUAAUUAACGCAAAACUUUCAACAACGGAUCUCUUGGUUCUG